rnacentral:rRNA from 1 species
CGUGGGUAACCUGCCCAAGAGAUCGGGAUAACACCUGGAAACAGAUGCUAAUACCGGAUAACAACAGAUGAUGCCUAUCAACUGUUUAAAAGAUGGUUCUGCUAUUACUCUUGGAUGGACCUGCGGUGCAUUAGCUAGUUGGUAGGGUAACGGCCUACCAAGGCGAUGAUGCAUAGCCGAGUUGAGAGACUGAUCGGCCACAUUGGGACUGAGACACGGCCCAAACUCCUACGGGAGGCAGCAGUC